rnacentral:piRNA from 1 species
UAACCUGCAAGCAUCCCCGCCA